UCAACAUUGUAAUUUCUUCACACAAACUAUGCGCAUGCGUUUUCCUCCUCAUCGGAGACAUAAUCACAUCAUUCAAAUAUUAAAGUCAGUCAGAUCAACUGCGACCACCACACCUUUCAACUCCGAGUCAUAGCCGAUGCACGAGAUCCAGCUGUGCUUAGCGAAUCCUCCUCUCUCUCUUUCUCUCUUCCGAGACCAAGACGCAUAUUACCAGCAAAAUUUCUUUUUCCGCAACUUUGCUUCCUCUUGGCUAUCGAUGUAAGCAAGCAGUUCUUCUUGCCUCAUCAACGCUUCGUGCAAAGCCUUCUUGGUAGCAAUCAGCUCUGCUUCCAAGGCAUCGACACGGCAGACGGCGGCAUUCAACAGUUCCUCUUUUUCGUAUGGCAUUUCAGAUGGUUUUGAUUGGAGCGUAUCGACCUUCUCCUCCAGCUCACCUAGCCUCUUCAUUAGAUUAGAGAGAAGUUCCGCUUCUGUAAAUUUAGCAAUUGGUGAAGGGGGGCGAUUCUCCUCGUUGGCUGUUUUAUUAAGGGAGGACAAUUCUGCAGUGUUUUGACUACCAAUAGACAAUUUCUUCCCACUUAUCUGGAAUGCCAGUGAACGGAGAAGAGCAAAAAUGGCUAUGAAGA
rnacentral:misc_RNA from 1 species